CCUACGGGUGGCUGCAGUGAGGAAUAUUGGUCAAUGGGCGGGAGCCUGAACCAGCCAAGUCGCGUGAGGGAAGACGGUCCUAUGGAUUGUAAACCUCUUUAGGCGGGGAGCAAUGCCGGGCACGUGUGCCCGGCGGGAGAGUACCCGCAGAAUAAGCAUCGGCUAACUCCGUGCCAGCAGCCGCGGUAAUACGGAGGAUGCGAGCUUUAGCCGGAUUUAUUGGGUUUAAAGGGAGCGUAGAUGGGUUGUUAAGGCAGUUGUGAAAGUUUGCGGCUCAACCGUAAAAGUGCAAUUGAUACUGGCAGUCGUGAGUACAGAGGAGGUAGGCGGAAUUCGUGGUGUAGCGGUGAAAUGCUUAGAUAUCACGAAGAACUCCGAUUGCGAAGGCAGCUUACUAAACUGCCACUGACAUUGAUGCUCGAAAGUGUGGGUAUCAAACAGGAUUAGAUACCCCUGUAGUC
rnacentral:rRNA from 1 species